rnacentral:rRNA from 1 species
GCCGUAAACCUAGCCCAGUCGAAACAAAUAUCAUAACACUAACUAGUUAAUCCUAAUAAACCAUUUUAAUGUUUAAGUAGAGGAGAUUGAAAAACCCACUUGGAGCUAUAACAAUAGUACCGCAAGGGAACGGUGAAAUAUUAUUAAAAAUUAAAGCAACAAAAAGUAAAGACUAUACCUUGUACCUUUUGCAUCAUGGUUUAACUAGUUAAACCAAGCAGAACGCAUUUAAGUUUGACCUCCCGAAACUAAGUGAGCUACUUCAAGGCAGCUAAAAGAGCGAACCCGUCUCUGUAGCAAAAGAGUGGGAUGACCUUCAAGUAGUGGUGACAGACCUAACGAACUUAGUGAUAGCUGGUUACUCAGGAAACGGAUAUAAGUCCAACCUGAAUUUCAUAACCCCAAGUCUACCUAAACAAUUUAUUAUUUUCAGAGUAAUUCAAAUAAGGUACAGCCUAUUUGAAACAGGACACAACCUAAGCCAGCGGAUAAAAUAAGCCAACCGAACAAUAAAGUUGGCCUAAAAGCAGCCAUCUUUAAAAUAGCGUCAAAGCCUACUUGUUCUCACGCCUAAUUACUAAACUUCCAUCUUAAUCCCCCAUUAAUACUGAGUAAUUCUAUAUUUUUAUAGAAAUUUUUAUGUUAAAACUAGUAACAAGAAGAAGACCAUUCUCUUAAAUGUCAGUGUAAAUCAGACAGGACAAACCACUGAUACUUAACAUUAUUGAACCAGAAGUAAAAACUAAUCAAGAAAAAUUUACUCUAAUUUAUGUCAACCUAACACAAGUACAUUUCAAGAAAGAUUUUAAAAAAAAGAAGGAACUCGGCAAAUAUUAACCCCGCCUGUUUACCAAAAACAUCGCCUCUUGAACCAAACUAAGAGGUCCAGCCUGCCCAGUGACUCUGUUAAACGGCCGCGGUAUCCUAACCGUGCGAAGGUAGCGUAAUCAUUUGUUCUUUAAAUAAGGACUAGUAUGAAUGGCAUCACGAAGGUUAUACUGUCUCCUUUUUUUAAUCAGUGAAACUAAUCUCCCUGUGAAGAAGCAGGGGUAAAAUUAUAAGACGAGAAGACCCUAUGGAGCUUAAAACAUCAUAGCACUUACCAUAAAGUAAAUAGACUUCUGAGUUAUUAAAUACCCGAGUAAUAUGUCUAUAAGUUUUUGGUUGGGGUGACCACGGAGCAAAAUGCAACCUCCACGUUGAACAAAUUUUAUUUUAAGCUAAGAAUCACAUCUCUAAGCAUCAGUAUACUGACAUCCAUUGACCCAACACCUUUGAACAACGAACCAAGUUACCCUAGGGAUAACAGCGCAAUCCACUUCAAGAGCCCAUAUCGACAAGUGGGUUUACGACCUCGAUGUUGGAUCAGGGUCUCCAAGUGGUGCAGCCGCUACUA